rnacentral:rRNA from 1 species
AUUGAACGCUGGCGGCAGGCCUAACACAUGCAAGUCGAGCGAGCGGCGGACGGGUGAGUAAUGUAUGGGGACUGCACGAUAGAGGGGGAUAACUACCGGAAACGGUGGCUAAUACCGCCUACUCUCCGAUAACCCACACGGGAUUAGCUAGCAGGUGGGGUAAAGGCUCACCUAGGCGAAGUUCUCUAGCUGGUCUGAGAGGAUGAUCCGCCACAAUGUGACUGAGACACGGCCCAGGCUACUACGGAUGCAGCAGUGGAGAAUAUUGCACAAUGGGCGCGAUCCUAAUGCAGCCAUGCCGCGUGUAUGAAGAAGGCAUUAGGGUUGUAAAGUACUUUCAGCAGGGGGGCGUUACCCGCAGAAGAAGCACCGGCUAACUCCGAGCCAGCAGCCGCGGUAAUAC